rnacentral:rRNA from 1 species
GAUGAACGCUGGCGGCAUGCUUAACACAUGCAAAUCGAACGGGAAGUGGUGUUUCCAGUGUCGAACGGGUGAGUAACGCGUAAGAACCUGCCCUUGGUAGGGGAACAACAACUGGAAACGGUUGCUAAUACCCCGUAUGCUGAGGAGCAAAAGGAGAAAUCCGCCCAAGGAGGGGCUCGCGUCUGAUUAGCUAGUUGGUGAGGUAAUAGCUUACCAAGGCGAUGAUCAGUAGCUGGUCCGAGAGGAUGAUCAGCCACACUGGGACUGAGACACGGCCCAGACACCUACGGGAGGCAGCAGUAGGGAAGUUUCCGCAAUGGGCGAAAGACUGACGGAGCAAUGCCGCGUGGAGGUGGAAGGCCUCGGGGUCGUCAACUUCUUUUCUAGGAGAAGAAACAAUGACGGUAUCUGAGGAAUAAGCAUCGGCUAACUCUGUG